rnacentral:rRNA from 2 species
GUUAUCCGGAUUUAUUGGGCGUAAAGAGAGUGCAGGCGGUUUUCUAAGUCUGAUGUGAAAGCCUUCGGCUUAACCGGAGAAGUGCAUCGGAAACUGGAUAACUUGAGUGCAGAAGAGGGUAGUGGAACUCCAUGUGUAGCGGUGGAAUGCGUAGAUAUAUGGAAGAACACCAGUGGCGAAGGCGGCUACCUGGUCUGCAACUGACGCUGAGACUCGAAAGCAUGGGUAGCGAACAGGAUUAGAUACCCUGGUAGUCCAUGCCGUAAACGAUGAGUGCUAGGUGUUGGAGGGUUUCCGCCCUUCAGUGCCGGAGCUAACGCAUUAAGCACUCCGCCUGGGGAGUACGACCGCAAGGUUGAAACUCAAAGGAAUUGACGGGGGCCCGCACAAGCGGUGGAGCAUGUGGUUUAAUUCGAAGCUACGCGAAGAACCUUACCAGGUCUUUGACAUCUUGCGCCAACCCUAGAGAUAGGGCGUUUCCUUCGGGAACGCAAUGACAGGUGGUGCAUGGUCGUCGUCAGCUCGUGUCGUGAGAUGUUGGGUUAAGUCCCGCAACGAGCGCAACCCUUGUUACUAGUUGCCAGCAUUAAGUUGGGCACUCUAGUGAGACUGCCGGUGACAAACCGGAGGAAGGUGGGGACGACGUCAGAUCAUCAUGCCCCUUAUGACCUGGGCUACACACGUGCUACAAUGGACGGUACAACGAGUCGCGAACUCGCGAGGGCAAGCAAAUCUCUUAAAACCGUUCUCAGUUCGGACUGCAGGCUGCAACUCGCCUGCACGAAGUCGGUAUCGCUAGUAAUCGCGAAUCAGCAUGCCGCGGUGAA